rnacentral:rRNA from 1 species
AAUAGAUACCCUGGUAGUCCACGCCGUAAACGAUGAGUGCUAAGUGUUAGAGGGUCUCCGCCCUUUAGUGCUGAAGUUAACGCAUUAAGCACUCCGCCUGGGGAGUACGGCCGCAAGGCUGAAACUCAAAGGAAUUGACGGGGGCCCGCACAAGCGGUGGAGCAUGUGGUUUAAUUCGAAGCAACGCGAAGAACCUUACCAGGUCUUGACAUCCUCUGACAACCCUAGAGAUAGGGCUUCUCCUUCGGGAGCAGAGUGACAGGUGGUGCAUGGUUGUCGUCAGCUCGUGUCGUGAGAUGUUGGGUUAAGUCCCGCAACGAGCGCAACCCUUGAUCUUAGUUGCCAUCAUUCAGUUGGGCACUCUAAGGUGACUGCCGGUGACAAACCGGAGGAAGGUGGGGAUGACGUCAAAUCAUCAUGCCCCUUAUGACCUGGGCUACACACGUGCUACAAUGGACGGUACAAAGAGCUGCAAGACCGCGAGGUGGAGCUAAUCUCAUAAAACCCGUUCUCAGUUCGGAUUGUAGG